UAGAUACCCUAUUAUUCUGAAAAAAAUUAUUAAAACUAAAUUAGUAAAAGAUAAAUACUUAAAAUUUAAAAAAUUUGGCGGCAGUUUAAUCUUUUCAGAGGAACUUGUUUUAGAAUCGAUAAACCACGAAAAAUCUUACUUGUUUUUGUUGUGUUAGCAGUUUGUAUACCAUCAUUAUCAGAUAAUUCUUAAAGGAAACAAUUAUUAAAUUUAAUUGCUUAUAAAAAUUAGAUCAUGGUGCAGCUUAUAAACAAGGUAAAAUGAGUUACAAUAAAUUAUUUUAAUGCGGAUAUAUAAUUUAAUAUUAUUAAGAAGAAGGAUUUGAUUGUAUUUUUAGUUUAGUAAGCUAAAAGGAUAUAAGUUCUAAAUUGUGUACAUAUCGCCCGUCG
rnacentral:rRNA from 1 species